rnacentral:rRNA from 1 species
CUUGGUCAUUUAGAGGAAGUAAAAGUCGUAACAAGGUUUCCGUAGGUGAACCUGCGGAAGGAUCAUUAUUGAAAUAAACCUGAUGGGUUGUUGCUGGUUCUCUAGGGAGCAUGUGCACGCCUUGUCAUCUUUAUAUCUCCACCUGUGCACCUUUUGUAGACCUUUCAGGUCUAUGUUGCUUCAUUUACCCCAUGUAUGUUAAUAGAAUGUUGUGCCUAUAUAAUAUAUACAACUUUCAGCAACGGAUCUCUUGGCUCUUGCAUCGAUGAAGAACGCAGCGAAAUGCGAUAAGUAAUGUGAAUUGCAGAAUUCAGUGAAUCAUCGAAUCUUUGAACGCAUCUUGCGCUCCUUGGUAUUCCGAGGAGCAUGCCUGUUCGAGUGUCAUCAAAAGUUCUCAACCACACCGGUUCUUCUGGCGUGGCUUGGAUUUGGGGGUUUGCAGGCUUUGAACAGAAGUCGGCUCCCCUGAAAAGGAUUAGCAGUAUCUGAGCGGGAGACUACGUCGGGCGUGAUAAAUCAUCUAUGCCUCGGUGUACCCGAUGUGUGAGACUGCUUCUAACUGAGUGUUGACAAGUUUGACCUCGAAUCAGGUAGGACUACCCGCUGAACUUAAGCAUAUCAAUAAGCGGAGGA